GUGGCCUUGGCUUCCUGCGGAGAAACCUGGAAAAAGGAUGCCUCAUACGAUGGUUUGAGGCCACCGCCCAGCCUGGCUCUCCCAGUGGAAAGCUGUAUCCAGACCUAAAACUGUACACACAGUGCACUCUACAAGGGCUUGGGAGAAACUAGGGUACUCGUCAGGGGACUGUCUGGAGGCAUCGAGGACUCCUUGGAACUGGUCUCUUUUAAGUAACGUUAAUGAGCUUUAGCUACUGCAUAGGUAAAAUGGCAAAAAGAAAAGCCCAUUUUGACAAAAUUGUUCCUUGGUGCUGUCACAUCAGGCUGUCAUUUUGGCUAACUUGUCAAAAGUCCUUUGCAUCUCAAAUCUGAAAAAAUUCUAAAAUGCCUGAGCUCUAUGGUGAGCAGAAAACUGUCCUAUUUCUCCUCCUUUUCGACGUGGAUGUCUCUGCCAUUCUGAGUCUAUUGUGCAGUUUAAAUUCCCUUUCUUCCUUCUCCCAGAGCUCACUUUGCCAUGUAAGCAGUGAGCUCCAAAUAGAUUGGUUCAGCACCACUCCAAAAAGAGAGCACUCCUUGUCUGAGAGGAAAUAUGGCAACUCACUGAUGAAAACGUUGAAUAGGUUAAACCAGGCAGGAGGACUGUCAGAGAACAACAGCACCUUAGUCUUCAAGGAAGUUAUUCUUCACAGGGCUGUGGGCAAGAAGAAUGCUUUUGAAAACAACCAGAGUCAUUCCUAGAAGCAAGGACUAUGACAGUAAGCUAAGAUAGUUCUCGUUUGCUGGUUGUAGUUGAUAACGCUCAUUUUAUUCCUUCGUCGAGGUAGAGUCCAAGUCCCAGCUGGAGGAUACAUUCUGUUAUCCUGUUGCUCAGUUCCUAAUGGACACAAGAAAGGUCGUAGCUACUGAAAGUUUCUCAGCAAGGAAGCUACUGAAAAAUAAAAUAGAAUCCUUGUCCUAUGAACAAUUCCAACCCUUACCCUGACUGAUCCAGAAACUGUGAGAUUGAGUCUUGCCAUGUUAAAAAAAACAAAACAACAACAACAACAACAAAAAUGGACAAACAGGGAAAAAUUUAGCAACCCUCAGAAGUCAACAGUUUUCUCUACAGCUUGGGAAACAAGUAGAGCUAGGCGAACUUUCCACCCGGUACAUCAGCUUAGUGUGAAUGACAAGGGAGAAGUGAGGUGAGAGACACACACCUCUCUCUCUCUCCUUUUUUUUUUUUUUUUUCUUUUGAGAUGAAAUUUUGCUCUUGUUGCCCAGGCUGCAGUGCAGUGGUGCGAUCUCAACUCACUGCAACCUCCACCUCCUGGGUUCAGACGAUUUUCCUGCCUCAGCCACCUGAGUAACGAUUCUCCUGCUUCAGUCUCCUGUCUGCAAUUACAGAUGCAUGCCACCGUGCCUGGCUAAUUUUUGCAUUUUUACUAGAGAUUGGGUUUCUCCACGUUGGCCAGGCUGGUCUCAAACUCCUGACCUCAGGUGAUCCACUCGCCUCGGCCUCCCAAAGUGUUGGAAUUAUAGGUGUGAGCCACCACGCCUGGCCGAGACACACACCUUCCAAGGGCAUACCAGAUUCUCAAAGGGAGGAUGGUUAGAGAGAUGUAAGAUUUUUAUAUUUAUCAAAAGAGGACUUAAAUUUAAAAAGAAGGAAAGAGAGAGUGAGAGGGGAAAGAAAGACGAAGAGAGAAAAGCAGAAGAGAGAGAUAAAAAGGAAAGAGAAAAACUAGAAAGAGAAAAAGGAAAAGAGACAGAGACUCCCUAAACACAUCUGCAACCUUCCAAACCUGCAUAUGAUUGUAAGGUGGUUGAGUGCAUGUGUAUCAUUAGUUGCUAGGACAACAAAUUGCAAUCCAGUGCUCUGGAGCCUUAUAUCAUGUGGGCAGAUUUUCUGAAGUGCUACAGUUGUGCUUUUAUCGCUCUGGGGACAGAUCCAAGGUGGCAUGGCUAAUGGGGAUUUCUCUUUCCGAGAAGGGGCUCUCAGUCUAUGACUCAGCUGUCAUCUUCUGGCCCCUGAGAUCUAGAUAGUGUUUCUCCUGAACCAUCAGUUUUACUGCCCAUAGAGGUCCACUGCCAAAUUUCUACUGAUUCUUCGGGACUUGCCUUCCCAUGAGCCCUCUGCUCUUGGCUCUACACAGGUGGCUUUAGUCCUUACCAUGAUGCUCAAAACAUGAAACUUGGCAAUUUCCAAUAUUAUCUUCUAGAAUCUUUGUAGUUUCAGGUCUAAGAUUUAAGUCCCUGAUCCAUGUUGAGUUGAUUUUUGUAUAAGGUGAGAGAUGAGGAUCCAGUUUUAUUCUCCCACAUGUGGUUUGCCAAUUAUCCCAGCACCAUUUGUUAUAUAGGGUGUCCUUUCCCCACUUUAUGUUUUUUGUUUGCUUUGUCAAAGAUCAGUUGGCUGUAAGUAUUUGGGUUUAUUUCUGGGUUCUCUAUUAUGUUUCAUUGGUCUAUGUGCUUAUUUUUAUGUGAGUACCAUGCUGUUUUGGUGACUAUGGCCUUAUAGUAUAGUUUGAAAUCAGGUAAUGUGAUGCCUCCAGAUUUGUUUUUUGCUUAGUCUUGCUUUGGCUAUGUGGGGUCUUUUUUGGAUUCAUAUGAAUUUUAGGAGUUUUUUUUUUUUUUUAGUUCUGUGAAGAAUGAUGGUGGUAUUUUCAUGGGAAUUGAAUUAUAUUUGUAGAUUGCUUUUGGCAGUAUGGUCAUCUUCACAAUGUUGAUUCUACCCAUUCAUGAGCAUGGGAUGUGUUUCCAUUUGUUUGUGUCGUCUAUGAUUUCUUUCAGCAGUGUUUUGUAGUUUUCACCUCCUUGGUUAGGUAUAUUCCUAAGUUUUUGUUUUGUUUUGUUUUGUUUUGUUUUUGCAGCCUCUGCAAAAGAGGUUGAGUUCUUGAUUUGAUUCUCAGCUUGGUUGCUGUUGGUGUACAGGACAGCUACUGAUGUGUGUACAUUAAUUUUGUAUCUGGAAACUUUGCUGAAUUAUUUUGUUAAUUCUAGG
rnacentral:lncRNA from 10 species